rnacentral:rRNA from 1 species
AUUGAACGCUGGCGGCAGGCCUAACACAUGCAAGUCGAACGAGUGGCGGACGGGUGAGUAAUGUCUGGGAAACUGCCCGCUGGAGGGGGAUAACUACUGGAAACGGUAGCUAAUACCGCAUACCAUCGGAUGUGCCCAGAUGGGAUUAGCUAGUAGGUGGGGUAACGGCUCACCUGGGCGACGUUCCCUAGCUGGUCUGAGAGGAUGACCAGCCACACUGGAACGGAGACACGGUCAAGACUCCAACGGAAGGCAGAAGUGGGGAAUAUUGGACAAUGGGCGCAAGCCGGAUGCAGCCAGGCGGCGUGUAUGAAGAAGGCCUUCGGGUUGAAAAGUACUUUCAGCGAGGAGGCGUUACUCGCAGAAGAAGCACCGGCUAACUCCGUGCCAGCCGCCGCGGUAAUUC